rnacentral:misc_RNA from 1 species
AGACUUACUGGCUUCUGCAACAAUAUCUAGAUUUGUCAUGUCCUUCUGAAUAUCUACGGAUCCUUCAGCAGUCAGGAGCCAUUUCCAUACUUUCCCAUCAUCAGAAAUGGUGAUUAAACGCGUCUUAGAUAAAACAAGGGAUUCAUCACAAAAAUCAAAUGGAUUAUCAAAAUCCACAUCAGCUGAAUGAUGUGCAUCGGAAUAAAGCUUGCCAAUAGUUUGAAAGGCG